UCCUCAUCUCCUCUAUUCUGUAUUCCAUCUCACCUAUGUUGAUCGGAGCCUGAUACUCUAGUCCAUACAAGAAUCUGCCAAUAGUCCAGGGAGAAAUAUCAACCUGUAUACCAUGAAUCAUCAGGGAAGUGAUAGGCUUACCGCCCUUCCAUAGUUCAACCUAUGGGUAUUGCCUCAGAAGCUCACCUUUAUAUUCUGCAUAGAAUUUACGAACAAGGACCUCACUAUAUCUUCCUUGCAC
rnacentral:lncRNA from 1 species